rnacentral:rRNA from 1 species
GACGAACGCUGGCGGCGUGCUUAACACAUGCAAGUCGAACGGAAAGGCCCUGCUUUUGUGGGGUGCUCGAGUGGCGAACGGGUGAGUAACACGUGAGUAACCUGCCCUUGACUUUGGGAUAACUUCAGGAAACUGGGGCUAAUACCGGAUAGGAGCUCCUGCUGCAUGGUGGGGGUUGGAAAGUUUCGGCGGUUGGGGAUGGACUCGCGGCUUAUCAGCUUGUUGGUGGGGUAGGGGCUUACCAAGGCUUUGACGGGUAGCCGGCCUGAGGGGGUGACCGGCCACAUUGGGACUGGAAUCGGGCCCGAACUCCUACGGGAGGCAGCAGUGGGGAUUAUUGCACAAUGGGCGGAGGCCUGAUGCAGCAACGCCGCGUGCGGGAGGACGGCCUUCGGGUUGUAAACCGCUUUCGCCUGUGACGAAGCGUGAGUGACGGUAAUGGGUAAAGAAGCACCGGCUAACUACGUG